GUUCACACAUCCAAAGAUGAAGAGAGUGAGCCACUGUUACCGCGUCGAGUACCGUCAUAUGGAGAGGACCCUGACGCAGGAAGAAGUGUGUAUCAUCCACAGAGCCAUUGAGCAGGCAGCCGAAAAAGAGCUCGGAGUGCAGGGAAGAUACUGAGCUCUCUCUCUCUCUUUAACCAUCAUGACAAUCUUCCACCUCUCGCGAUGAGAUUCACAGAUGUAGUCACAUGUCUCUGUGGUGGUAAAUAAAAUGUGGAAACUCUCAGCAACAACUGCACUUGUUGGAGACUCCAUCUGUAGUUUCUUAAAGGAACACUUCACCCAAACACGAAAAUAAUGUCAUUAUUUACUCACCAUCAUGUCUGUCUAAAUCUAUAAGGAGAAUUUUGAAGAAUCUGUAUGUAGAUUUUUUCCAAGUAACAACAUCAUAAAAAGGGAUAGUUCAGCCAUCAUUUACUCACCUUCAUGUCAUUUCAAACCUGUAUUGACUGUUUAAUCUGCAGAACAUACAAGAAGAUAUUUUUUGAAGAGCAUUGGUAACCAAACGGUUUUGGUGACCAUUGAUUUCCAUUGCGUUGACUAUUGCCUUCCAUUGUGUUCCAUACUGGUUUAAAUAAUGAGAGAAUUUUCAUUUU